rnacentral:rRNA from 1 species
GAUGAACGCUGGCGGCGUGCCUAAUACAUGCAAGUCGAGCGAACAGACGAGGAGCUUGCUCCUCUGACGUUAGCGGCGGACGGGUGAGUAACACGUGGAUAACCUACCUAUAAGACUGGGAUAACUCCGGGAAACCGGAGCUAAUACCGGAUAAUAUAUUGAACCGCAUGGUUCAAUAGUGAAAGACGGUUUUGCUGUAACUUAUAGAUGGAUCCGCUCCGCAUUAACUAGUUGGUAAGGUAACGGCUUACCAAGGCAACGAUGCGUAGCCGACCCGAGAGGGAAGUCGGCGACACUAGAACUGAGAGACGGACCAGACUCCUACAGGAGGCAGCAGUAGGGAAUCCUCCGCAAUGGGCGAAAGCCUGACAGAGCAACACCGCAUGAGUGAUGAAGGUCUUCGGAUCGUAAAACUCUGUUAUUAGGGAAGAACAAAUGUGUAAGUAACUAUGCACGUCUUGACGGUACCUAAUCAGAAAGCCACGGCUAACUACGUG